rnacentral:rRNA from 1 species
UAAAUAGCCAGGUUGACUUUUGUCGGCCGCCGGCUUCUUAGAGGGACUUUUGGCUCAAGCCAAUGGAAGUACGAGGCAAUAACAGGUCUGUGAUGCCCUUAGAUGUUCUGGGCCGCACGCGCGCUACACUGACGAAGUCAGCAAGUUUAUAACCUUGGCCGGAAGGUCUG